CAACUCAGGUGCCCAGAAGACUUUUUAGGACCAUGGUUAUUUCUCUGGGGUAUUUCUUGAGUGGGGUUCAUGGUGAAAAGGUGCCUGGGGCUUCAGGUUGCUCAGGACAUCCCUGGGUACCAGCCCUGCUCAGUUGUUCCCAACAGCAUCCACAGGAAUGGACUUUUGGUUCUGUUUCUACUUGCUGGUUGAUUUUUGUGUACUCAAGUGAUGACUGAGGAAGAAUCAGAAGGCAACUUGUGGAGCUGGUCCAGAAGAAUUUUAGCAUCCCAAAUUUGAUGCCUUGAGGAGGAGAGGUCUCAGCCAACUGGAAGGUGGUGAAAUGUUGUCCUGACUUUCAAGAAGGACAAGAAAGAGGACCCCAGAAACUACAGGCCUAUUAGUCUCACUUCAGUGCCUGAAGGACAGAAGACCUCACUCAUCAUUGACCGGAGGUUGACAGAUCCAAACGAAGGACCAUCUGUUUGGCCAGGGAGAAAAGGGUAAAGGAGCUGUCUAAAUCUGUGUCUAGGAGCCACCAGUGGAGCAGCACAUCCAUGGAUCUGUCAAAGAGCAUUUUCCUAUCCCAGCUGGCUCACAACAGAGUGCUCCUCCUGGCCAGAAGUUACAUGCUUCCAUGCCCCCUUGCAACCGGGGAGACUCUCUGAGCCAGAGGCUGAGCCAAGUGACUGCAGAAUGGUGAGGGAGAGAUGAGCUCUUGGAAGAACAGCACAUUUAUUCAGUUGAUUAAUUUUUAACAGGGAAAAAGAGUAAGUACAGGGGAAAUUGUUCAGCUGGGAAGAGAGGAGAAAGCUGUGAGAACAGAACCAGAAAGGAAGGUGAAGAGCAGGAGAGCAGGGGAGAAGGCCUCUCUCACAGCCCAUACUCCUGAGGUGCUCUUUGGGCUGAUCAGUAGUGAUUUGCACUCCCAACAAAUGUUUUCAUUUAUUUCAGGACAAAGAAAAUGGUUUGUUCCACCGAACAUAUUUUUCAUUCAAAAUGGGAAAAGCUACUCCUGAGGGCCUGUUUUACUUUUUUUUAAUAAAGAAUAAAAACCUCAUGCUUUCAAAAAUCCUCUUUUCCCUACUCAGGAUUAGUUAUUUGAAUAGAAGGAUUUGCUGAACAUGACCUGAAUUUAUCUAGCGUUUUAUCCUACCUAUAGCAGAAUAUUUCUGGAGAGUUUAUGACUGAAGGGCAGAAACAACGUCCUUGUUUAGCUUCUCUUUAGACUUGUGCAGAAUAUGGAUACAUCCAUCUUGCACAACAGCACAGGUCCAGGUCCCAUCCGUCCUGCCAGAGCAGGCAGUCAUUGUGAGCUCUCAGUAGCUGAGGAAGACAGAAGUGAUUUGCAGCACCUCUGUGCAGGUCUGCACCCUAUCCAGGGCCCUCACUCCUUGUGAGCACCUCCCAGAGGCACAGUAUUCAUGAAGGGCACCUGUGAAAUUCUGCCCAUGCAGAAGCUAAAAUACAUAGCCUUGUGCUAAAUAGUAUGCUUAUAGAUAGUGGCAUAUAUUUGUCUGGAUGUCUGUAGCAAGAAUAGUGGAAAAACAAGAGAGAAGGCAGCAAGCCUUCUUGAUCUAACUGAAAGAUGAGGGAGAAGUUUAGAGGUCAAGAACUGCUUGAAAAGUUGUGAUCAAAAAGGAUAUCUCAUGCUGUUUCUUUCCAAAUGAGCAGAGGGUGGCAGGAUUGUGGUAAACAGCCUUUGGCUGACCAUCUGGGUCAUGCUGGAAUAAUGACAUGACAGGAUUCAAUGUCUCAUGAUGUUAUUUGUUGGGCUAAACAUACCAAAUAGUGCAGAGGCUUACACACUCAGGUCAGUGUGUUGUUAUUGCUGCAUUUCCCACUUAAACAAUUCCUUGUGCUUCUAAAGUUACCUGGCCCUGCCACAUGACUUCCAAGUGAGCAAGCCAUGAUUUUUAACAAUAUCUAUUACCUCUGUUUCACAGGUCAGUGCUCUUUAUAAACUGCUAGUGUUAUUCUGAAAGAUCUAUUGUGAAAGACAGCGUAGAAAACAUUGGUGCAAAACUAACAAGAAGGACAUUGCUUCUGUUUAGGAGGGACUACCCAUGUGAUGUAGGUACAAAAAAAUUUCCCUGUUUCAAAACACACAUUUUAUCUAUGCAAGAUCAUAGUCCCAUAAUUCUGUUCUACACUUCAAUGGCACUAACAUAGAAAAUAGUUUGUUCGCUCACAGACCAAGAAGGACUGGGAUGCUAACUUUACUGUUCCAGGAAAUACUUUGCCAGUGCUAACUUGUGAACUGUUAGCAGCCAAAUACUCUCAAGAUUUAUUCAAGCCAAAGAACUACUAUCUACCAGUUCCUGGUUAUAUUUCUUCUCCUAUUCCUCUCUAAAUUACGAAUUUCCACUGGGUCAAGUUACUUUCAUGUUUAUUUUCUUUAACACAGCAAGUCUGCAUCUGGCAAUAACUUUUUGGGUUGUCUGGCUGUGAACUUCACAUUAGAAAACUUCAAACUGUGUUUCCCCCAUCUCUUAGAGCAGAAAUAUUCUUAUGCAGACCUGUACCAGUACAUACAAUGCUGCAAUGAUAGUAAAAACAAACAAACAAACAAACAAAACACAA